rnacentral:rRNA from 1 species
UACGGAGGAUCCGAGCGUUAUCCGGAUUUAUUGGGUUUAAAGGGUGCGCAGGCGGGAGAUUAAGUCGGCGGUGAAAUUUUGCAGCUCAACUGUAAAAGUGCCUUCGAAACUGGUUUCCUUGAGUGUGGAUGAAGUAGGCGGAAUUUGUGGUGUAGCGGUGAAAUGCAUAGAUAUCACGAGGAACUCCGAUUGCGCAGGCAGCUUACUAAACUACUACUGACGCUCAGGCACGAAGGCGUGGGGAUCAAACAGGAUUAGAUACCCCCGUAGU